AUUGAACGCUGGCGGCAUGCCUUACACAUGCAAGUCGAACGGUAACGCGGGGCAACCUGGCGACGAGUGGCGAACGGGUGAGUAACGCAUCGGAACGUGCCCAGUAGUGGGGGAUAGCCCGGCGAAAGCCGGAUUAAUACCGCAUACGACCUACGGGUGAAAGGGGGGGAUCGCAAGACCUCUCGCUAUUGGAGCGGCCGAUGUCAGAUUAGGUAGUUGGUGGGGUAAAGGCCUACCAAGCCGACGAGCUGUAGCUGGUCUGAGAGGACGACCAGCCACACUGGGACUGAGACACGGCCCAGACUACUACGGGAGGCAGCAGUGGGGAAUUUUGGACAAUGGGCGAAAGCCUGAUCCAGCCAUGCCGCGUGCGGGAAGAAGGCCUUCGGGUUGUAAACCGCUUUUGUCAGGGAAGAAAUCUUCUGGGUUAAUACCUCGGGAGGAUGACGGUACCUGAAGAAUAAGCACCGGCUAACUACGUGCCAGCAGCCGCAGUAA
rnacentral:rRNA from 1 species